CAUCUGUCUCCCUGAUGGUGGAAGGCUGUCGAGGCUGCUAGAUGUACUUUAAGUGAGGUAAGAGAGACCAGUCUUUCUGAUGCCUAGAAUAUAGUCUGGGAUCAAAGAGAGGGAGGAAGAUGUCAGAUCCACUGGUUUGGAAGUGCACCAAUUUUGGAAUUUUCACUUCUGCAGGUAAGUACAACAAAGCAAUUUCCUACUGUGCAGUAACACCUCUUUCACCUCCUCGGAGCAUUCGCUGUCUAAGUGCUGGAACCAUGAAGAAGCCAAGCCUGGAACCGAGGAUCUGUAGGUUGGGGUGAAGGAUCCAUCUGUCGUUUUGGCAGAGCAGGACCUUUGACAUCAGAGGGAAUGGAGGAAAGGUGUAUAGCAUCUCCCUGACCCAUGGAAAGAUGAAAGAUUCCCCUAGAAACUGUUUCCUCAGUCCAACUCUGGAGCAGUAUUGGAGACAUUUCUUGUUCUGCAAGUCUUCGGACUCCUAGCUGGGAUCACUACAAGCAUGCCUGAGAAAAGGAGAGGUCAGAGGUGGACAACACAAGGAAAGACAUUGAGGGUGCAUCCAGAGAGAAGAUGAAAUCAGUCCAAAAGAGGUAAAAUGUCUGACAAAUGAUCAUAGAUUUCAUGAAACAAAAAUGUAAAUAUGACUAUGCUAUCAAAGAAUG